CAUCCUCGCUAAACCCAACUCUUACCGGCGCCUCUUUCAGCUGCGCUCGAUUCUCAGCAAGUCGAUCGAAAAUGCCGUUCAAGAGGUACGUGGAGAUUGGGAGAGUGGCGCUGGUUAACUACGGCAAGGAGUAUGGGAAGCUUGUCGUCAUCGUGGAUGUUAUCGACCAAAAUAGGGUAUUCUUUAUUUUAGUUUAAUUGACUAGAUACUUGCUGUAGUAUCUGUUUUUUAGUUAUCCUUUUUCAAUUAUGGCUGAUUAUUGAUGGAUGAUUUUGUACCCUUGAAUGUGCAUGUAUUUGAGUUAGUAGUGUCUUUUCUGUUCAAUGAUGAGUUAAAUUAACUUUUCUGGUGUCAAUUUUAUUUCAUUUGUGUUUUAGUUUUCAAUUCAAAGUGAAUUGCUCUAGUCCUGCUGAUUACCUGUGUCUUGGCAUUCCUAGUUUGAGAUAUGAAAUUUGUGGAAUUGAUAAGCUGUUUUUGUUCUGAAUGAAUGUAUUUGCGUCCUGGCAGUGGCUUCAUUUUUUUUUUCUUUUUUGAAUAAG
rnacentral:misc_RNA from 1 species